UAUAACUAAACAUUUUCUACUUCCUCUACAGAAUCGCGUUGGUGUAUCGAUAAUGAAUCGGACCAAAAUCAAGCGUAGAGUUGGUAAAUAUGAAGUUGGAAGGACAAUUGGUGAGGGAACGUUUGCGAAAGUCAAGUUUGCAAAGAAUUCAGAGACGGGAGAAAGUGUGGCGAUCAAGAUCCUCGAUAAAGAUAAGGUCCUUAAGCACAAAAUGGCUGAACAGAUAAAGCGGGAAAUAGCUACAAUGAAGUUGAUCAGACAUCCUCAUGUUGUACAGUUAUACGAGGUUAUGGGAAGCAAGACGAAGAUAUUUAUUGUUUUGGAGUUCGUUACAGGUGGAGAGUUAUUCGAUAAAAUUGUAAAUCAUGGACGAAUGCGUGAAGAAGAGGCAAGGAAGUAUUUUCAGCAACUUAUUCAUACGGUUGAUUAUUGCCAUAGUAGAGGAGUCUAUCACCGAGAUCUAAAGCCUGAAAAUUUACUGUUGGAUUCUUCGGGUGACCUUAAGGUAUCUGAUUUUGGAUUGAGUGCUCUAUCCCAGCAAGUCAGGGCUGAUGGCUUACUGCAUACCACCUGCGGAACUCCUAACUAUGUUGCACCUGAGGUACUGAAUGAUCGAGGAUACGAUGGGGCAACAGCAGACCUCUGGUCGUGCGGAGUCAUACUCUUUGUACUGCUUGCAGGUUACUUGCCUUUUGAUGACUCCAAUCUUAUUAACCUGUAUAAAAAAAUCUCUGCUGCUGAAUUUACAUGUCCUCCUUGGAUGUCUUUUGGUGCUAUGAAGUUAAUUACUCGCAUCUUGGAUCCGAACCCUAUGACACGUAUCACCAUCUCAGAAAUUCUGGAGGAUGAGUGGUUCAAGAAAGAUUAUAAAUCUCCCAUUUUUAAUGAGAAAGGAGAUGCCAACCUGGAUGAUGUUGAAGCUGUCUUCAAGGAUUCUGAAGAACAUCAUGUAACAGAGAAAAAGGAAGAGCAGCCAACUCCCAUGAAUGCAUUCGAGUUGAUUUCAAUGUCAAAAGGACUCAACCUUGGGAAUCUCUUCGAUGAACAGGAAUUUAAGAGAGAAACAAGGUUCACAUCUAAAUGCUCGGCCAAUGAAAUUAUCAGUAAGAUUGAAGAAGCUGCAAAGCCCCUCGGUUUUGAUGUUCACAAAAAGAACUACAAGAUG
rnacentral:misc_RNA from 1 species